GAUGAACGCUGGCGGCGUGCCUAAUACAUGCAAGUCGAGCGAACAGAUGAGGAGCUUGCUCCUCUGACGUUAGCGGCGGACGGGUGAGUAACACGUGGAUAACCUACCUAUAAGACUGGGAUAACUUCGGGAAACCGGAGCUAAUACCGGAUAAUAUAUUGAACCGCAUGGUUCAAUAGUGAAAGACGGUUUUGCUGUCACUUAUAGAUGGAUCCGCGCCGCAUUAGCUAGUUGGUAAGGUAACGGCUUACCAAGGCAACGAUGCGUAGCCGACCUGAGAGGGUGAUCGGCCACACUGGAACUGAGACACGGUCCAGACUCCUACGGGAGGCAGCAGUAGGGAAUCUUCCGCAAUGGGCGAAAGCCUGACGGAGCAACGCCGCGUGAGUGAUGAAGGUCUUCGGAUCGUAAAACUCUGUUAUUAGGGAAGAACAAAUGUGUAAGUAACUAUGCACGUCUUGACGGUACCUAAUCAGAAAGCCACGGGUAACUACGUG
rnacentral:rRNA from 1 species